rnacentral:rRNA from 1 species
CAGUCGCCGCGGUAAUACGUAGGUGGCAAGCGUUGUCCGGAAUUAUUGGGCGUAAAGGGCUCGCAGGCGGUUUCUUAAGUCUGAUGUGAAAGCCCCCGGCUCAACCGGGGAGGGUCAUUGGAAACUGGGAAACUUGAGUGCAGAAGAGGAGAGUGGAAUCCCACGUGUAGCGGUGAAAUGCGUAGAGAUGUGGAGGAACACCAGUGGCGAAGGCGACUCUCUGGUCUGUAACUGACGCUGAGGAGCGAAAGCGUGGGGAGCGAACAGGAUUAGAUACCCCCGUAGUCCCUGUCUCUUAUAC